GACGUAGGUGGCGAACGUUAUCCGGAAUUAUUGGGCGUAAAGGAUGCGUAGAUGGUGUAGUAAGUUAUCGGUGGCAAAUCGAGGCUCAACCUCGUGGAAGUCGGUAAUACUGCUAUGCUAGAGGAUAGGAGAGGUUAACGGAACUCCCUGUGGAGCGGUGAAAUGCGUAGAUAUAGGGAAGAACACCAAUAAGGCGAAGGCAGUUAACUAUUCUAUUCCUGACAUUGAGGCAUGAAAGCGUGGGGAGCAAAACGG
rnacentral:rRNA from 1 species